CCGGGGAUCUCGUAGAAUAGACCAACCCGAACCAGGUCAGGAUCGGAAGGUAGCAGCCUUAAGGGAUCUGUUUUAUGCUAUGAGCCCAUCUCCGGUGU
rnacentral:SRP_RNA from 1 species